rnacentral:rRNA from 1 species
GACGAACGCUGGCGGCGUGCCUAAUACAUGUAAGUAGAACGCUGAAGAGAGGAGCUUGCUCUUCUUGGAUGAGUUGCGAACGGGUGAGUAACGCGUAGGUAACCUGCCUUGUAGCGGGGGAUAACUAUUGGAAACGAUAGCUAAUACCGCAUAACAAUGGAUGACACAUGUCAUUUAUUUGAAAGGGGCAAUUGCUCCACUACAAGAUGGACCUGCGUUGUAUUAGCUAGUAGGUGAGGUAAUGGCUCACCUAGGCGACGAUACAUAGCCGACCUGAGAGGGUGAUCGGCCACACUGGGACUGAGACACGGCCCAGACUCCUACGGGAGGCAGCAGUAGGGAAUCCUCGGCAAUGGGGGCAACCCUGACCGAGCAACGCCGCGUGAGUGAAGAAGGUUUUCGGAUCGUAAAGCUCUGUUGUAAGUCAAGAACGGGUGUGAGAGUGGAAAGUUCACACUGUGACGGUAGCUUACCAGAAAGGGACGGCUAACUACGUG